rnacentral:rRNA from 1 species
GACGAACGCUGGCGGCGUGCUUAACACAUGCAAGUCGAACGGAAAGGCCCUGCUUUUGUGGGGUGCUCGAGUGGCGAACGGGUGAGUAACACGUGAGUAACCUGCCCUUGACUUUGGGAUAACUUCAGGAAACUGGGGCUAAUACCGGAUAGGAGCUCCUGCUGCAUGGUGGGGGUUGGAAAGUUUCGGCGGUUGGGGAUGGACUCGCGGCUUAUCAGCUUGUUGGUGGGGUAGUGGCUUACCAAGGCUUUGACGGGUAGCCGGCCUGAGAGGGUGACCGGCCACAUUGGGACUGAGAUACGGCCCAGACUCCUACGGGAGGCAGCAGUGGGGAAUCUUGCACAAUGGGCGGAAGCCUGAUGCAGCAACGCCGCGUGCGGGAUGACGGCCUUCGGGUUGUAAACCGCUUUCGCCUGUGACGAAGCGUGAGUGACGGUAAUGUGUAAAGAAGCACCGGCUAACUACGUG